CUUUUGUUAUCGACGCACCGUGGGGGACGCACUUCUUUGUUAGCAAAAGAUGACUGCAGAAAAAAUAAAUGUGCAGAACCUCAGAAGUGGAGUGUCGUAGUUUUUCGUCAAAGAGACCGUGCAAAGUCGACUACACAGAGUUGAUGGAUGGAUGGAAGGAUGAGGGGAAGUGAAGACGAUGGCCACGCGUCGAAGCUCACAUCUCCCACCUUCUCGUCCCCACCUCCGUCGGCGUCCCAAACAGAGCCUCCUCCGUCCUCGCCUCUACACAGGGAACACCAGGAAGCCGGAGAAGGUGGAGUACUUCCAUCCGCCCAUCAAGUUUCCCCUCUCCAGUUUGAGGUAAGCCCGGUCUCCCUUCUCCAUUUGGAUCAGGACGCCGUUGCUGGCCGCCUCGCGGGUCACGUCCUGGUCGCCGGCGAAAGCCGAAAUCACCGGCCAGCCGUUGUGCAUGAGGCUCACCUGGGCCAGAGCGAGAGGGGAGAGGGAGAUUUGUGAGUGGGAAGGAAAUUACAAGUUGGUAUGACACACAUUUAAAAGGAUCCCUUAGACAAGAUGAAGCAGUACAUCAUGAACUGGUAAAAAUGACCGUGUUUUCCGGACUAUAAGCCGCUACUUUUUUCCUAUGCUUUGUACCCUGCGGCUUAUAAAAUGGUGCGGCUAAUCUAUGGAUUUCUCUUCGCUAAU